AGAGUUUGAUCCUGGCUCAGGAUGAACGCUGGCGGCGUGCCUAACACAUGCAAGUCGAGCGAUUUACUUCGGUAAAGAGCGGCGGACGGGUGAGUAACGCGUGGGUAACCUGCCCUAUACACACGGAUAACAUACCGAAAGGUAUGCUAAUACGAGAUAAUAUAAGAGAUUCACAUGGAUUUCUUAUCAAAGCUGAGGCGGUAUAGGAUGGACCCGCGUCUGAUUAGCUAGUUGGUAAGGUAACGGCUUACCAAGGCGACGAUCAGUAGCCGACCUGAGAGGGUGAUCGGCCACAUUGGAACUGAGACACGGUCCAAACUCCUACGGGAGGCAGCAGUGGGGAAUAUUGCACAAUGGGCGAAAGCCUGAUGCAGCAACGCCGCGUGAGUGAUGAAGGCCUUCGGGUCGUAAAACUCUGUCCUCAAGGAAGAUAAUGACGGUACUUGAGGAGGAAGCCCCGGCUAACUACGUGCCAGCAGCCGCGGUAAUACGUAGGGGACUAGCGUUAUCCGGAUUUACUGGGCGUAAAGGGUGCGUAGGUGGUCUCUUAAGUCAGGAGUGAAAGGCUACGGCUUAACCGUAGUAAGCUCUUGAAACUGGGAGACUUGAGUGCAGGAGAGGAAAGUGGAAUUCCUAGUGUAGCGGUGAAAUGCGUAGAUAUUAGGAGGAACACCAGUAGCGAAGGCGGCUUUCUGGACUGUAACUGACACUGAGGCACGAAAGCGUGGGGAGCAAACAGGAUUAGAUACCCUGGUAGUCCACGCCGUAAACGAUGAGUACUAGGUGUCGGGGGUUACCCCCCUCGGUGCCGCAGCUAACGCAUUAAGUACUCCGCCUGGGAAGUACGCUCGCAAGAGUGAAACUCAAAUGAAUUGACGG
rnacentral:rRNA from 1 species